rnacentral:sRNA from 1 species
UCGGUUUCAGACUCCCCACUCCUCCUCCCAAAGGACUGUGUGUAGGAACACCGGCGAUCCUCCCAGCCGUUGUUCGGUUCUUUUCGAAAAGCCUGCCGCACCCCCUCCCGCCGCAGGCUUUUGUG